CACCUGGGGAAACUCUCGCCGUCGUAAGGUUUGAGGCGGUUUUGCGACUUUCCUCGGAUGAAGUUGGAGCAGGCGACGAAACGAACCGUUUGGAGGAGAUGAAGACGAUUGACGUGACUGUCGACUGCUCUUCUUGG
rnacentral:ribozyme from 16 species